GAUGAUGAGAUGUUCGACCUCAUCACGCUACCAUCUGAAAAUGACAACCUGUUAACUGGAAAAAGGCACACAGUCAACAAAGCCAGGGAGAAAAUUAUUCAGAAGAUGGACCUCCAAGAUGUUUUCACGCCCACACAAGUGGCCAAGAAGUGGGACAACCUCAAAAGAAAAUAUGCGGUUGAGAUGCCCACCAACUGGGAUGGGGACUGACAGCUACAUGGCCAUAUUUUGGUGACAUGCAUGAGGCCAUCCAUUGAGCUCUCACCCUUAUGGACUCAGCUGGCGUGGUUGCUGAGGCCUCUGGUGAUGGCUCAGGAUCUACUGAGGCUGCCCCGAGCCAGGAGAUGGAGGAUGAGGAGGCCACUGAUUCUGGCUCAGACAGCUAUAUGGUGGCUGCGGAGUCAUCCACCUCUUCGGUCCCCCUCCCCGCAAGAAGCGCAAGAGCCCUAGGUCUAGUAAAAAAAGUCACUUAUCAUAUGUGGCAGUUGGCAAUGAUAGCCUACUGUGGCAGGCCGACACAAACAAAUCAAUGUAUAGGAAACACUGACUGAGUGAUGACGUAAACAUGCUUCGGCUUGGAUCGUUAGGCACUAGCGUGAGCGCAGGCCAGCGGGGGAGUUGGGAGGGGGGACAAUCGUGCUCAGACACGGUACAAGGCAACCGGGCCUAGUGUGAGAACACCCUAAAUUCACAGUCACAUCAGAGGUGAUUAUGGUCAUAUUAAACCUGAACAUCAGCACCUUGGGAUUUUCACACCCUUUGUAGUACAGGCCACUGGUCUUAUGCCACUCAUCACUUGUUUUUGCCAACUUGUCGUAACGUACUCUCUCGGCCAGAAAACUACUUUUGUCUUUUGUACUCUUAAGUACCUUUGCGUAAGUACUUAUUAUGUCUCUGCUCUUCAGAGCCUUGCCUCCAGUGCCAAUCUUCACUCAAUGUCGUAUUACUCAGACCACAACAAACCCACUACACCUCCUCAGUCUGCCUGCCGGCCUUCAGCCAUUGUCAGCCAUGCCCGUCCUUGCUGCCUCAUGUGCCUUGUGUGUUCAUUAAAAUUUUUCCAAACUGCUGUUUUUGAAA